AGCAAAAACUUUUAGUUAAAUAUAUAUAUAUAUAUAUAUAUAUAUAUAUCUGGACAGUUAGACCAGCCACUUAAACACAGAGCAUAAUACUAGAACGAGAAAAUAAAACAAAAAAACAUAUGAUUGAAAAUAUAUUCAAUAUGUUUUUCUUUUUACAAUUUUAUCCGCAAUAUAAAAAAUCCACCGGUCAAAACAUCAAAUUUUAGUCAAAUUAUAAUAAAACAUGUAUCUGACUGUGUAUAACUUUAACAAGACACUAGAGCUUAACCCGUGCCAUGCACGGGUUUUUGUUUUUACUUUUUAUAGAUAAAUAUUUAUUUUGUGUAAGUGAUAAUCUAUAUUUUUAAAAUUUAUCGUGCGCGAGUUUUGUUUUUAAUUUUUAUGAAUAAAUGUUUAUUUUGUGUAAGUGAUAAUCUAUAUUUUUAAAAUUUAUCCCUAUAAAAUAUUUUUUUAAUAUGAUAUUUCUAAAAAUAAUAAUUUUCUAAUUUAUAUUGAGUAUUAUACAUUGUUUUGUAAUUCGUUAAAUGUAUCACCGAUAUUUUUAGAAUAUGACCCGUAUACCAGCACAAAUAUAUUUUUAUUUUUUAUGGAUCAAAAUUUUAUAAUAAAAUUAUUUUAUAUGCUAUUUAAAAUCUGGUGUUAUAUACUUUAUACUAUUUAACAUUUAUCACAUUGAAUAUACACUGGCUUAUUAUUUAUAAUAGAGUAUAUAUAAAAUAAUAAAAGACAUGAUUUUAGCCACAACAUUUUUGGCUUUAGUUUUUAGAAUAUUUGCUUAUUGUGGUUGCUUUGAAACCUACGAAUAAUCAAUACAAUAUUAAAAGGGGAAUAUCCUCAACAUUUAGCAUGUCCACGUCAUCUCAAAAAAUUAGCCAAUAGGAAUACUUUGUACUGCCAUGUCAUUAUCGCUUUUCUAGACUGAAGAGAAAAUAGGCUUUUCGUUCAAUUUUAAUAGUAAUUAACCAUGACCCAUGUGAGGCCCACCUCUCCAACCCUAAUCGUCUUCGACGUAAACGAUGAUCGUGUCUGGCGCUUCCAUUCUCUGCAAUCGCUGUUUCUCCUCUGUAUUUAUCACAACCAGUAUGAAUCAUUAGCCUCUGUUCUUCAAUCCAUUCUUAGUGGUUUCGUUCCACCUCCCGUUGUUACUCCUCCUAUUUAACCUCUAAUGUUACGUCAAACCAAAAUCUACCUCCUUUUAGAGAAGAAGAUCACGCUAUGGCCAUGAAGCCUCCAAAAUCCACCGAAAAGUCUCAUGCACCCUCAAUUUUAAUGACGUCUCACCAGGCCAGUCGAAUUGGAACACCGAUUCCGAUUAAUUCAAUUUCUGGGAGGUGAGAAAUACAGAAAAAGGUUGGAUUCUUAUUGGCUUGGAACUGCUUCUCAUCUAUGAACAAAAAAGGUAUAGUUAGGGGUUGAGAUCUAUGGGUGUUAGAUUCCUUUUUGGCAGCAGUAUUUUCACGCCUUUUAACCAUACACCACAGCAUAGACUACUUAGAUCAAGCCCACAACAUAGACUUAACAGGUUAGUAUCAGAUUUUACUGUGCCUCUCUUUGAUGCAUUCUUUUUAGUUGCUGCAUACUUCUUACUUUGCUUCUGGAUAUCUGUCUAGAUGGUUGUUUAAACUCUGUACCGCAAGAAAAAAAUAUGUUAUGGUUACAAUUUACGACCCAUGGAAGCAUGAGACGGUUCACAUGAAGAGAAGAUGUCUGACAAAGGGUUGGUUUUAAAUUCUGAUGGAGAGUAAGUUGUUCUUCAUUCAAAAAAACUCAUGUGGUAUUGGACCUGUUGAUAAAUCACCUGCCUUUAUGAGCCAGAGUACGGUGAUGACUGCUGUCACUUCUUUACUCCGUGAUGGAAUAGGUUGUAGUCCGAGGGAAGACAGUUAGAGACGAGAAAAAGUCAACAACACUCUAUCACAGAGUGGUCGUUCGUGUAGAGAAGGCAACCUAGGCUUCACCUUGGAUCUUAGUCCUGGAAAACUAACCUGAGUCAGAGAGGAGUGGUUGUUGACAUGUCGUUCAAACACAGAUCAACAAAUCAACCAGAACAUAGGCGGAUAAAGGAUCUACGAGGAUACUUUGAGGACGGUUGCCUCAACGGAGUCCUUGCAGUCACAAGUGCCAUUGAGAACUGGGAACUGAAGAGUCCUUUCACUGGCUCCUCUUCACCUCUGAUCUCAGACCCAAAGAUUCAGCAAACUAUUCUAACAGAGGAAGAUGACUUCUUAGUUUCAGCAUGAUGAAGCCCGAGCUCAGUUACAACUUACAACCCGAUGCUUGGAAGGGGCUUAAACCAGUCCUUUUGGCAGUAUAUAUAAAGAGAUCGUAGUUCAAAUAAAAUAUAUAAACAGAUGACUUCUUAGUUUCAUCUGUUUGUUAGGUUAUUUAGAAGAGAGUACAAGAGAGAAAAGGAAACAUGUAGUUUUGUUAGGACUUAUUAGGACUAUUGAAAUCAUAAAUUAUUUGCAAGUCAAACAACAUACGAUUACUCAGGAGUUGAAAUCACUGGGUUUUAUUACUCUUCAUAUGAUUGUGUUUUUUUUUUUUUAAGUUUAUAAUUGCUUCGUUUCUGUAAGGUUUAAUUCGAUGGUUUCUUCUAAACACCGAGAUUGAGUUUAUGAUGCAUUGUGCUUAUUUAUUAGAACAAAAUAAUCGCUAUUUUGAUAAAAUGUGUGAGAAUCAAGCUUAAUGAGAAACAUCAAAUAAAGAUAAUCCAAUCUUUACGAGGUUAGUUAGGUUGAUAACCAAAAUAAACAAUGUACUGAGAAAAAUAUUGCAAUCAACAAUUUUAGAAACUAAAUAUAUUCUAUUUUUCAUCUUUUUAAAUAAACACAAUUUGAGAUUAAAAGAUAAUUGUGCUAAACCAUUGGUAACAGCUUUUAUCCACUAAGAUAAUUAUAGAUCAUAUUUUGUAGAUAAACAUAAAACAUAAUUUGAAUGCAAAAAUUAUAUUUUAACUUUCAGUAUUUUUGGAACAAGUAACAUGAUAGCCAAUUGAAUAAUUGCGGGGCCGGAUCUGAAAUUUUGGGAACUUGAUCAUUUCUAAAAAAAACUUUAAUAUUGUUUUUAAAAUUUGGGGUUUCUUUUUUGCAAAUGUUUUUCAAAUAUUUGAGGACCAAAGCUAAUGUUUUACUGGCUUAGAUCCGAUCAUGCAUAAUUGCAUUGUAACUAACACAAAGAAAUUGUGAAAGAUAAAUUUAUGAAGAUGGUAAAAAAAGAUAAAUUUAUGAAAUCUCACCAUCUAUUGAACAUCUGAACCAUAGAGUUAAGGCUGACAAUGCAUUGAUAUGUCAAAGUUACACGACCAACAACAAUACUCCCAAUAAAAAAAUGUUCCUAAAACACCUCCCUAUAUUUUUGGGUUAAAAAUACAAUCAAUCGCUGUGUUUUGCACUAUAAGCGCAUACCUACCAAGUAAUUUCACAAACUUUUAUUUUUAAAAGAAAAACAAAAAAUUGAAAUAAAUUAUUUUAACACAGAUAAGGUAAAUACGCAGUAUACAAAGAAUAUAUCUCCAAAAUCCAUAAACGAAAAUAAAAGUUGUAUAAGCUUACUUAUAAACACGCAUAUACUAAAAAUACAUUUAUACAAACAAAAUAGUCACCUAGAAUGAAGCUUUCAUAUUAAAAAAUUACCGCAUAUCAAAAUUUAUACCUCUCUGUAUGGGAUUAAAAAGCGGCUAAUUUCAAACAAUUAAUCAGUUUCUGCCUUAUUGAAAAAAAUACGCUCUCCAACCUCUUUAUGUUUCUUUAUUCGUAUCCUAACAAGUUAUUGUAUUAUACCAUCGGAUAUAAUAAGUGCAUCCCAAUCUAUCUUCAUCAAUUCAUUCACAAAUUUUAUCUCCCCAAGUAGAAAAAAAGUUAUACAACAUCCAAUCGAAUCUUAAUUAAACUAUCAUUCACAUUUUCAAUAUUUUUGGAGAUUUUCAUUCACUGAAGAGCAAAAAUGAAAAUGAUGUUGAUAAUGAUUAUUAAUUCCAUAUUAUGAAAGAUUAGAAAUCCAUAUUACUUGAUAUCUUUAAAAAUAAUCAGAGUGCAAGAUAAUUAGUAAUAACUCUAGAAACAUAAAUUAAAGUUUCAAAUGAAAAUUAAAAAAUAAUACAUGAAAUAUAACAUCUUACCAUAGGAAGUCAACAGAUAUUAACGACUAGGAAGAAAAAUAACACCAAACUAAAUUGUGUUAAUCAUGCAAUUCAUUUUUUGGUUUAAAGAAUUGUAAGCAUAUUUUAUGACAGCAAAUAUAUGUGGUUAUACUACACUGUUUUAGCAAAUCAUAUUCUAAAUUUAGAAGAAUCAGAGGAAAAUAUUUAAAAUUAUAAAAUCAAUAAAUUUUAUAAAAAAUAUAAAUCAAACAAAACAAUCCUCAAUAUAGUAAAAAUGAUAAAUUAACAAAUUUAAAAUAUAUAAACCGCGUGUACAUAAAAUAUAUGGUUUAUGUAUAUCACAAUCAGAUGAACUUUACUUAUGAUUAAUAAUUUAUUUUCUUAAUAACCAAAUAUAUAAGAUUAAAAAUAUUUGGAUCAUAACUUAGAAUUAAUUAUUUUUGCUUCAUUACACAUUUGCUCAUCUGUCUAUAUGUAUUUUUAGAUAGUAAAAAUGAUAAAUUGUAAGUUUUACUCAUUUCUAAUUCAAUACAGUAUAACCUCUUUAAAUUAAUACACUUUAAAUUAAUAUAUACUAAAAAUCUCUAUAAAAUAAUAUAAUUUUAUAGUCUCAAAUUGAAUUUUUGGUUCAAUUAGUAUAUCGAUAAAUUAAUCUAUAUAAAUUAAUAAAAAAAUUAUAGUUUUGGUGUAGCCCAAACAUUAUUAAUUUAUAGAGGUUUCACUGUAUGUGGUUAAUAAUUCAAUAUCAAGGGAUGUAGUAUAUGUAUUAAAUCUUUUACAUGUGUCUAAUCCUGGGCGUAGCCCGGGCAAAAUCUCUAGUGAAAGUAAAGAUGUUAUUCUCUUGAUGCCGAAAUCUUUGUUAGUUAUAAUUAUUUAAGGAAAUAAUGUAAUAAUUGAAAAAGAUAAGCAUUAUUUAAUAGUAGGUUUAUUUAAUUUUCAGUAGCAUUGAGUUGUAAAUAUUUUGUAAGUUUGAGGAUAAGUCUAAAUAUAUAUUUCUCUUUUAAUAAUAUAGAUGAUAUUACGUCGUUUGGUUUAAGUUUUCAGUAACAAAGUUACAAAACAGUUGUCCGAAUCUUCGACCUGCUGAAUUAUCAACCACAACGCAUUACCAACUGUACGCUACUUGAUAAUUUGACAUAAACCUAAAUGCAAAUUGAUUUUAAGGUAAAUGAACAUCAUCUUGUGAGAUCAUGCGUUUCCACGACUGAAACUUUUGUCAUUUGCUUUUAUCUGAUGCUGCUUUUGUUGCUUAAUCUUAUUGUCAACAUCUUUGGAGGACUAUCGUUGGCUUACAUACCAAUAGCUAACGUUGCUCAGGUUUUUUUUUUGUUCAUUCAAAUCUCAUCAACAAUAAAUAAUUUUUAACAAAUUAAAUAGACAAAAAAAUCACUACUCGAAACUGAAAUCAAUAGAAUUUAACAAUCUAUAGAUAUAGAAGUUCUAUUACGUCACGUUGAAUGUAAUAUUUUGGUAAGUUAGAGAAAUAUAUGUUAAAUUUUUUAUUUUUAGUUAUUAUUUUCUUAUGUUUUUCGAAUAAUGUUUUCAAAAAAAAUUGACAUAGUUUAUUUUUAGGUGAAAUAUGGUUUAUAAUUUGAUAUUUAUUCCAGUUUUGAUUUUAUUAAUUAUUAGAAGAAAAAUCGAUUGGUAGCUACACAAAUAAUAUGCCACCACAUCACUAAACAUCUAGACUAAACUAAUGUAUUAAAAUUACAUGCACUAUAUGAAUCAUAUGACAACAUCCUUGAACUAAUUAAUAUGUAUUAUGUUAUUAACACCAUACAUAUAGUUUUGUAUUAGAAAAUUGUUCCGGAUUUAGAAGUGUAUUGGACUUGUAACAAGACAAUUUAUGAUGAUGUUUAAAAUAUUUUAACAUGUUAUUUGAUGUAUAAAAUUUAAUUUUGAAUAUUGGUCUAUGUGUGUUCAUUUUUUGUUUUUGGUCAUUUGAAUGUGUUAUGAUCUUUUUUUCAAAUAAAUGUUUAUUGCGUUAUGCCAAGUUCCAAAACCUUUCAUUUUUAUGGUGUUAACAAUACAACAUAUAUUAGUUAAUGGAUGUUGUCAUGUGAUUCAUAUAGUUCAUAUAGUUUUCAAUAUAUUAUUUAUGUUCAAAUGUGUGACCAUGUGGUGGUGUAUUGUUCGUGUGACUAGCAAUCAUUGUUUUUAAUCAUAUCUCAUUUUCAAUUCCUUCUCUUAAGUCUUUCUCUUAUAUUUCCGGUAUCUAUGUUAUAAAUGGAAGGUACCCAUAGCCGUAUUAUAUAUCCCUCUUCUUUUAUAGGUAAUAGGGUUAGGGCGAAGAGGAACCUUGACCCCGAUGUUUAAUCAUAUUUUUAUGUUUUAAUAAAAAGUUUUAUUUAAGUUUGAAAUGAUCAAAACAUAUAUAUAACAAUAUUUAGAGCAUUAUAAAUAAUAUAAAUGUCUACGUUUAUAACAACUGUACCAUAUUUGUUUUGAAUAUCAAGACAUCUAUUUUGUUAAUUUAAAGUCAUGAUAUAUAGCUAAUCUUUUUUGAAACACAUAUAUAACUAAACUUUAUUCAUGUAUUAUAUCACGUUUUGUGCCACUGUAAUUCACUUAUGGUUUAAAAAGUUCAUUAAAGUUAUAUGCAAUGUUUGUAAGAGUUUGAUCAAUUUAUUUUUAUGUUAAAUAUCAAAACAUAACCAUUAAACCAUAACCAAGUGUUGUAAAAAAAAACCAUAACCAAGUCAAAAUAAUCAUUGUUCUUAUUAUUUUGGUUCAAUAAUAUCAUGACAACUAUUCGCAAAUUUGUAUCUAUGGUAACAUUAUAAUUUUUAACGCGAACCUUCUUCGAAGCAUAAUUUGAUUUCUCAUUUCCAAAACGAGAUUUUAAAAAAAAAUCUUAUAUAUAUAUAUAUUAAAUAUAUUAGAUAGAUAUGAUAUAACAAAAAAAAUUAUAUUUUAGAGAAUAUACUGUGAGAUAUAUUCAUGGGAUGCAGAUUUGGAGCAAGUAAUAAGAAGCAAUAUAAACUUCUUCUUUUUUGGGU